AAAUGGAGACAAGAGGAAGACGGGGACGAGGUAGUGCAUGGAUGGAACUAUUAACAGAAGAAUGUUAAGCUGUUUUUGCUCUACCCAUGCACUGCCUCUUCCCUGGCUCUGUCUCUCCUUUACUC
rnacentral:pre_miRNA from 11 species